CCCUUAGAUGUUCUGGGCUGCACGCGUACUACAAUGGAACUCGCAUCGAGUCGCGAAACUGAGAAGUUAAGCGAAUCUUGGAAUGUGUUCCGUGACCGGGACAGUUGAUUGCAAUUAUUCAACUCGAACGAGGAAUUCCUUGUAAUCGUGAUUCAUCAUAUCGCGAUGAAUACGUCCCUGCCCUUUGUACACACCGCCCGUCGCUCCUACCGAUUGAAUGGUCCGGUGAAGCCUCCGGAUUGGCGCGCACCUCGGUGCCGCCGAGAAGUUGGCUAAACCUUACCAUUUAGAGGAAGGUGAAGUCGUANCA
rnacentral:rRNA from 1 species